GCAAGUCGAGGGGUAACAGGGUUGCUUGCAACCGCUGACGACCGGCGCACGGGUGCGUAACGCGUAUGAAACCUACCUUUUACAGGGAAAUAGCCCCGAGAAAUUUGGAUUAAUACCCCAUAGUUCUAUAAUCCCGCAUGGUAUACUAGAUAAAGUUUCGGCGGUAAAAGAUGGUCAUGCGUGGCAUUAGCUAGUUGGUAAGGUAAAGGCUUACCAAGGCGACGAUGUCUAGGGGGUCUGAGAGGAAGGUC
rnacentral:rRNA from 1 species